GGACCGGCCGCCAUGUUGAAGCUCGGGAGCUGCUGCGGGCUGAGUCUUCGGGGUCUCGUGGAGCUGAGAGGCGGCGUGGUGAGAAUGAUUCUGAAGUUGACUGGAAAGAUGGCAAAUUUUACCUCGUAUAUGCAGAGAGUCUCUAAAAAGCUAAAAAUGCAGAUAAGCAUAAUUUGUGUUGCUUGUUCUCCCACUCUUUUGCAUUUACUUUGAAACCCGGGUUUUGUGCAGGAGACGUAACUCUGUGAUGAGAACUCACCUAGCAUACUCAAGGCCCUGGAUUGGAUCCCCAGAUUCAGUACAAGUGUCUGGAGAAUGUGAGCUUGGCUGUAUCUAGUGCACCUGAUACAUGCAUACGAAGAACUUAGUAAC